GUGGGUAUAGCUGAGUGGUAAAGCACAUGCUUGACAUGCAUGACAUCCUGGGUUCAAUCCCCAGUGCCUCUA